GUGCACCUGUCCCUUUCCCAGCAGACCCUCGUCGACCACCACAGGAUGAACAUCCGGGCGCCCAAGAUCCUCUACCUGCUCGCCUGGCAGCUAUGGCUCGUCGCUGUCGAGGCGAAGAACAUGCCCCCCGAACUAGCUAUGAGGGUCCGGGAGAGCAACAUCGACGGCUCUUGUGUGAAGCCGGUUCCCAUAACAGACGAAGUCUACGACGAGAUCAUCAGCGGACCUCAGCCAGGAUCAAUUUGCGAUGGUCUGCCCUGUCAUGUUCCUUACGAGGAUUGGUACUGUGCCUUGUGUAACUCACUUCUGCAAUACUGCCUGCACACUCCAUUCGGUAACUCGCCGUUCUGCGGGUGGUGUAUAGAUGAAGGCUGCUCCAUCACCAGUAUUCCACCGAACACAAGCGAGGACUACCCCGAAUACGGAGUCUUCGAAUACGGAGGCGGCCCAUUCCUGGAUCCCAAGUAAGUCGUAUUCCCGGAGCCUAAGUGAGCUGAGUCGUUAUUCCGAUUCAGAAAUGGAAACCAAAUGUCUCGGACGCCCGGCGAUUCCCGCAACUUUCUCUAAUACAAACAUUUGCAAACUGUGUUGUGAUCUUAUUAACCAACGUGAAUGGAGCUGUGUGAAUCAUAUUUCAUAGCCUCGUCCAGUUCUGCAAAAUAUUGUGCAUAUUUACACACUCCUAUUGAAACACAAUGUUAACACUGUAUAAUCUCGGAAAUGAAGAAUUCGUGACCAGAGAAAGUAAACUGACUUUUGAAUAAGCAAAUGGACUGAUUUCUAGUGACCUCAAAUUAUACUUGCCAAUAAAGUUCACUGCAUAAAGCA